GUCGGGCUUGGUAACGUGAGCCUGUGACCCAAGUGGGGACACCAAAGACAUGGAACGUUGUAUCUGCCCAACUGGCCGAACUCCAUGUGGCAAACUCUUGGCUCGCCCAUUUCAAGCUGAGAGUAGAGCCAUGUGAUUUAGGCUAAAGCUUGGGUCACUUGGCGCCUAAAGUGGAGGGCAACGCGUUAGGCUGGCUUCACAGAGCAGCGACUACCUCCCGCUCCUGGCAGUGGAAGGAUAACGGGUCGGUGCCCCUGGAGGUCAAAUGGCUUUGAUGGGCUGUGCAUACUGGACCAUGUCCUUU
rnacentral:SRP_RNA from 1 species